rnacentral:rRNA from 1 species
AACGACUCUCGGCAACGGAUAUCUCGGCUCUCGCAUCGAUGAAGAACGUAGCGAAAUGCGAUACUUGGUGUGAAUUGCAGAAUCCCGUGAACCAUCGAGUCUUUGAACGCAAGUUGCGCCCAAAGCCGUCAGGUAAGGGCACGUCUGCUUGGGUGUCACGC